rnacentral:rRNA from 1 species
CGGCGGACGGGUGAAUAACGCGUAGGAAUCUACCUAGUAGUGGGGGAUAGCCCAGAGAAAUUUAGAUUAAUACCGCAUACGCCCUACGGGGGAAAGGAGGGGAUCUUCGGACCUUUCGCUAUUAGAUGAGCCUGCGUGAGAUUAGCUAGUUGGUGGGGUAAAGGCUCACCAAGGCGACGAUCUCUAGCUGGUCUGAGAGGAUGAUCAGCCACACUGGGACUGAGACACGGCCCAG